UACAGGGGGGGCAAGCGUUGUUCGGAAUUACUGGGCGUAAAGGGCUCGUAGGCGGCCAACUAAGUCACACGUGAAAUCCCCAGGCUUAACCUGGGAACUGCGUGUGAUACUGGAUGGCUUGAAUUCGGGAGAGGGAUGCAGAAUCCCAGGUGUAGCGGUGAAAUGCGUAGAUAUCUGGAGGAAUACCGGUGGCGAAGGCGGCAUCCUGGACCGACAUUGACGCUGAGGAGCGAAAGCUAGGGGAGCAAACGGG
rnacentral:rRNA from 1 species